UGUUUCGGCUAGGGGGCCAUCCCGGCUUACCAACCCGAUGCAAACUGCGAAUACCGGAGAAUGUUAUCACGGGAGACACACGGCGGGUGCUAACGUCCGUCGUGAAGAGGGAAACAACCCAGACCGCCAGCUAAGGUCCCAAAGUCAUGGUUAAGUGGGAAACGAUGUGGGAAGGCCCAGACAGCCAGGAUGUUGGCUUAGAAGCAGCCAUCAUUUAAAGAAAGCGUAAUAGCUCACUGGUCGAGUCGGCCUGCGCGGAAGAUGUAACGGGGCUAAACCAUGCACCGAAGCUGCGGCAGCGACGCUGAUGCGUUGUUGGGUAGGGGAGCGUUCUGUAAGCCUGCGAAGGUGGCCUGUGAG
rnacentral:rRNA from 1 species